rnacentral:sRNA from 1 species
AUAGGAGGAGUCUGGCCCUUGAGUACCGGGUACGCAGGGGUGCCUCAACCACACUCCGUCCACGGACUCUCCGUUAUUUUAGGAGGUCCCUGGCCAAAGAUUUAUUUCUCUUGACAACCAAGGGCCUCCGUCUGGAUUUCCAAGGAAGAAUUUCCUCUGAAGCACCGGUGAGUGGGCAGGGGCUCCCUCCCCAUCAAUAGGGCCGACCCAAGUCUUCCUCCCCCUUCCCCCAUGCCGGGCCCCACGCUAGUGUGAAUGUCAGGGGCUUCAGGUUUCCCUAAAUAUAGGUCCCUGCCAGAGGAUCCGUGGCGGGAAAAGGGCAGGGGUCAUUAGAGAAGAUCGGGGACACAUGUGGGGCGGGCACGAGCUGCCUUAUAACCAGCCCGGGAACCCCUAGCUCACUCGCUGCUGACCAGGCUCUGCCGGCUCCUUCAGCCUCGCCGCAGGUGGGCCCCUUGCAGGACCGGGCCGGGGUGGGGAUGGGGUUGGGCCAACA